UACGUAGGGUGCAAGCGUUGUCCGGAAUUAUUGGGCGUAAGGGCUCGUAGGCGGUUCGUCACGUCGGGAGUGAAAACUCGGAGCUUAACUCCGAGCCUGCUUCCGAUACGGGCAGACUAGAGGUAGGCAGGGGAGAGCGGAACUCCUGGUGUAGCGGUGGAAUGCGCAGAUAUCAGGAAGAACACCGGUGGCGAAGGCGGCUCUCUGGGCCUUACCUGACGCUGAGGAGCGAAAGCGUGGGUAGCGAACAGG
rnacentral:rRNA from 1 species